UAGGGAAUCUUCCGCAAUGGACGCAAGUCUGACGGAGCAACGCCGCGUGAGUGAAGAAGGAUUUCGGUUCGUAAAACUCUGUUGUUAGAGAAGAACAGCGCAUAGAGUAACUGUUAUGCGUGUGACGGUAUCUAACCAGAAAGCCACGGCUAACUACGUGCCAGCAGCCGCGGUAAUACGUAGGUCCCGAGCGUUGUCCGGAUUUAUUGGGCGUAAAGCGAGCGCAGGCGGUUAGAUAAGUCUGAAGUUAAAGGCAGUGGCUCAACCAUUGUAGGCUUUGGAAACUGUUUAACUUGAGUGCAGAAGGGGAGAGUGGAAUUCCAUGUGUAGCGGUGAAAUGCGUAGAUAUAUGGAGGAACACCGGUGGCGAAAGCGGCUCUCUGGUCUGUAACUGACGCUGAGGCUCGAAAGCGUGGGUAGCAAACAGG
rnacentral:rRNA from 1 species